UUUCCGUAGGUGAACCUGCGGAAGGAUCAUUAUUGAAUAAACUGGCGUGGUUGUAGCUGGCCCUCGGGCAUGUGCUCGCCCGUCUACUUUAUAUCUCCACCUGUGCACCCUUUGUAGACCUGGACGAUAACUUUCCGAGGCAACUCGGUCGAGAGGACUGCUGGCUUUCAUGAGUCGGCUUUCCUUGUAUUAUCCAGGUUUAUGUUAUUCACAUACCCCAAAGAAUGUAACAGAAUGUAUCAUAUGGCCUUGUGCCUAUAAACUAUAUACAACUUUCAGCAACGGAUCUCUUGGCUCUC
rnacentral:misc_RNA from 1 species